CUAGGAGAACCGAAAACAGUUCUAGACUGACCUGCGGUUUUAUAGCACUUUGGCAGUCAACUUCAGCUUGUGUCAGAGCAGACAUGACAGAGCUGCCCAGCGCUUAAUCGCGGGACGCCACCUCCUCGGACUCACUGCAGCCCCCCCCCCCCCCCCCCCCCAGCCCCUGCUUGCAGAAAUACACAUAGAAAGC
rfam:Nestor notabilis contig10481, whole genome shotgun sequence.